rnacentral:lncRNA from 1 species
UUUUGGCUGAAUUAACAUGGGUGGAAUUGACCCAAAUGUCCUUAAUGAGAUGGAGUUUAAAUGCUGAAAUUCCCAGGUACGUGCAAUAGAGCAUGCGUCGCAUGCUCUAUCCCACUGGACUGGAGCAUGCAUCACAUGCUGCAUCGCACAGCACUAGACCAUGCGACGCAUGCAUAUAACAUGAUGCCACUAUUUUGGGCAUCCAAACAUGCCCUAAACGACGCUCAAAAAUUCUGA